GCUAACGUAGCUUAAGCAAAGCAUAACACUGAAGAUGUUAAGACGGACCCUGAAAAGUCCCGAGAGCA
rnacentral:tRNA from 1 species